AGCGAACGCUGGCGGCAGGCUUAACACAUGCAAGUCGAGCGGGCCCUUCGGGGUCAGCGGCCGACGGGUGAGUAACACGUGGGAACGUACCCUUUGGUUCGGAAUAACGCUGGGAAACUAGCGCUAAUACCGGAUACGCCCUUUUGGGGAAAGGCUUGCUGCCGAAGGAUCGGCCCGCGUCUGAUUAGCUAGUUGGUGGGGUAAUGGCCUACCAAGGCGACGAUCAGUAGCUGGUCUGAGAGGAUGAUCAGCCACACUGGGACUGAGACACGGCCCAGACUCCUACGGGAGGCAGCAGUGGGGAAUAUUGGACAAGGGGCGCAAGCCUGAUCCAGCCAUGCCGCGUGAGUGAUGAAGGCCUUAGGGUUGUAAAGCUUUUUUGUCCGGGACGAUAAUGACGGUACCGGAAGAAUAAGCCCCGGCUAACUUCGUG
rnacentral:rRNA from 1 species